AUAGUCAGUACAAUAAGAUAUAAAUAGAAACAACAAAAAGUUAAAAAACAGGAGAACGAAAUUAAGAGACAAGAUCUCACUGUGUUGCCCAGCCUGGAGUGCAGUGGUGUGAUCACAGCUCACUGCAGCCUUGAAAUCCUGGUCUCAAAUAAUCCUCUAGCCUUGGCCUCCCAAAGUACAAGAAUUACAGGCAAUGGUCACUGCACCUGGCUUGGAUCCACUUUUAAAUUUGUCAAGAGAUUAUGACCAAGAAAAUUUAGAAUGAUUUAUCAUUCUAAAUAUAUAAAAAUAUUAUGUAUUCUCAUGCAAUGUAUCGACUCUACAAAAGAGAUGCCCUCACCCACAGACACACACACACUCACACUCACUCUUAUCUUUACUUCCACUAAAACACACUCCUGUCUCAAUUUUAACUGUAGUUGGUAUCUCCAGUAGAAAGA
rnacentral:lncRNA from 1 species